rnacentral:rRNA from 1 species
CCUACGGGAGGCAGCAGUGGGGAAUAUUGGACAAUGGGCGAAAGCCUGAUCCAGCAAUGCCGCGUGAGUGAUGAAGGCCUUCGGGUCGUAAAGCUCUUUUACCAGGGAUGAUAAUGACAGUACCUGGAGAAUAAGCUCCGGCUAACUCCGUGCCAGCAGCCGCGGUAAUACGGAGGGAGCUAGCGUUGUUCGGAAUUACUGGGCGUAAAGAGUACGUAGGCGGUUAUUCAAGUCAGAGGUGAAAGCCCGGGGCUCAACCCCGGAACUGCCUUUGAAACUAGAUAACUAGAGUCUUGGAGAGGUUAGUAGAAUUCCGAGUGUAGAGGUGAAAUUCGUAGAUAUUCGGAAGAACACCAGUGGCGAAGGCGACUAACUGGACAAGUACUGACGCUGAGGUACGAAAGCGUGGGGAGCAAACAGGAUUAGAUACCCUGGUAGUCCACGCCGUAAACGAUGAUAACUAGUUGUUCGGUCACUUGGUGACUGAGUGACGCAGCUAACGCAUUAAGUUAUCCGCCUGGGGAUACGGUCGCAAGNUUAAAACUCAAAUGAAUUGACGG